GGAGAGAUGCCGGAGUGGUUGAACGGGGCGGUCUCGAAAACCGUUGAACCCUUAUGGGUUCCGGGGGUUCGAAUCCCUCUCUCUCCGCCA
rnacentral:tRNA from 1 species